rnacentral:rRNA from 1 species
GCUAAUACAUGCAAGUCGAGCGAACGGACGAGAAGCUUGCUUCUCUGAUGUUAGCGGCGGACGGGUGAGUAACACGUGGAUAACCUACCUAUAAGACUGGGAUAACUUCGGGAAACCGGAGCUAAUACCGGAUAAUAUUUUGAACCGCAUGGUUCAAAAGUGAAAGACGGUCUUGCUGUCACUUAUAGAUGGAUCCGCGCUGCAUUAGCUAGUUGGUAAGGUAACGGCUUACCAAGGCAACGAUGCAUAGCCGACCUGAGAGGGUGAUCGGCCACACUGGAACUGAGACACGGUCCAGCCUCCUACGGGAGGCAGCAGUAGGGAAUCUUCCGCAAUGGGCGAAAGCCUGACGGAGCAACGCCGCGUGAGUGAUGAAGGUCUUCGGAUCGUAAAACUCUGUUAUUAGGGAAGAACAUAUGUGUAAGUAACUGUGCACAUCUUGACGGUACCUAAUCAGAAAGCCACGGCUAACUACGUGCCAGCAGCCGCGGUAAUACGUAGGUGGCAAGCGUUAUCCGGAAUUAUUGGGCGUAAAGCGCGCGUAGGCGGUUUUUUAAGUCUGAUGUGAAAGCCCACGGUCAACCGUGGAGGGUCAUUGGAAACUGGAAAACUUGAGUGCAGAAGAGGAAAGGUGGAAUUCCAUGUGUAGCGGUGAAAUGCGCAGAGAUAUGGAGGAACACCAGUGGCGAAGCGCGACUUUCUGGGUCUGUCAACUGACGGCUGAUUGUGUGAACAGCGUGGGGGAUCACACAGGGAUUAAUACCCUGGGUAAUCCACGCGAAACGAUGAGUGCUAAG